CUCCCACAGCCUGAAUGAGCUUGGGAACUGAUUCUUCCACCCAGAGCCUCCAGAUAAGAACCCAGCCAAGCCCACAAGGACCUCUGACUUACAAAAUGCCAUGUUCUAUCUGCUGUUUUUGAAUCUGCUCUUCAGAAUCUACUCCUCUGCUCUGAACACACCCUGGGAGGAGGACAAUGAAAUUGAUGUUAUCAAUCAAGCGUUCCCAAAGGCUCAUGGGCUAUUAGCAAAGCAAAAGGGAGCGUCAGUGUCUCAGCCUCAGGAUCACCACCUGCUGCAGGAAGCCGGAACGGAACCAGCAGGCGUUGGCCUUGCACUGUGUCUUUGAGAAAAAGCCUGAGAGCGCGCUGAGGACUGAAAACAACCAGCAUGACAUGACCAUUUAAAAAAGAAAUCCUGGAGCAUUCCAGAAACAUGAAGACAAGCUCAGUACUGUGCAGCCGAAGGAAAGAUCUCCUCUGGGACUAGUUCACGGAGAGGAGAGAAAUGACUCAUGUGAAGUGGC